rnacentral:rRNA from 1 species
CCAGACUCCUACGGGAGGCAGCAGUGGGGGAUAUUGCACAAUGGGGGAAACCCUGAUGCAGCGACGCCGCGUGGGCGAAGAAGUAUUUCGGUAUGUAAAGCCCUAUCAGCAGGGAAGAAGAAAUGACGGUACCUGAGUAAGAAGCACCGGCUAAAUACGUGCCAGCAGCCGCGGUAAUACGUAUGGUGCAAGCGUUAUCCGGAUUUACUGGGUGUAAAGGGAGCGCAGGCGGCGCGCCAAGUCUGAUGUGAAACCCCGGGGCUCAACCCCGGGCAUGCAUUGGAAACUGGCGGGCUGGAGUGCCGGAGAGGUAAGCGGAAUUCCUAGUGUAGCGGUGAAAUGCGUAGAUAUUAGGGGGAACACCAGUGGCGAAGGCGGCUUACUGGACGGCAACUGACGCUGAGGCUCGAAAGCGUGGGGAGCAAACAGGAUUAGAUACCCGCGUAAC